GCUCUUCUAGUAUACUUAUUACAAUUGACUUCCAAUCUCUAAAAUCUGGCUAAAAUCCAGAGAAGAGCA
rnacentral:tRNA from 1 species